rnacentral:rRNA from 1 species
AUUGAACGCUGGCGGCAGGCCUAACACAUGCAAGUCGAACGGCAGCAGAGUAAGAGUUGGCUCUUACGUGAGGCGAGUGGGGGAGGGGUGAGAAAUAUGGCAGACUCUACGUUUUAGGGGGGGAAAUCGUGGAGAAACUUGCGCUAACACCACAUACGACCUACGGGUGAAAGCAGGGCCUCCUCGGCUCUUGCGCUCGGGAAUGACCCGAUGGCGGAUUAGCUAGUUGGCGGGGUAAAGGCCCACCAAGGCGACGAUCCGUAGCUGGUCUGAGAGGAUGAUCAGCCACACUGGAACUGAGACACGGUCCAGACUCCUACGGGAGGCAGCAGUGGGGAAUAUUGGACAAUGGGCGCAAGCCUGAUCCAGCCAUGCCGCGUGGAUGAAGAAGGCCUUCGGGUUGUAAAGUCCUUUUGUUGGGAAAGAAAAGCAUCAGGUUAAUACCUCGGUGUUUUGACGGUACCCGAAGAAUAAGCACCGGCUAACUUCGUG